rnacentral:rRNA from 1 species
UAUCGGAUACUGGGCGUAAGCGUGUGUAGGCGGUUCGGAAAGAAAGAUGUGAAAUCCCAGGGCUCAACCUUGGAACUGCAUUUUUAACUGCCGAGCUAGAGUAUGUCAGAGGGGGGUAGAAUUCCACGUGUAGCAGUGAAAUGCGUAGAUAUGUGGAGGAAUACCGAUGGCGAAGGCAGCCCCCUGGGAUAAUACUGACGCUCAGACACGAAAGCGUGGGGAGCAAACAGGAUUAGAUACCCUGGUAGUCCACGCCCUAAACGAUGUCAACUAGCUGUUGGGGCCGUUAGGCCUUAGUAGCGCAGCUAACGCGUGAAGUUGACCGCCUGGGGAGUACGGUCGCAAGAUUAAAACUCAAAGGAAUUGACGGGGACCCGCACAAGCGGUGGAUGAUGUGGAUUAAUUCGAUGCAACGCGAAAAACCUUACCUACCCUUGACAUGUCUGGAAAGCCGAAGAGAUUUGGCCGUGCUCGCAAGAGAACCGGAACACAGGUGCUGCAUGGCUGUCGUCAGCUCGUGUCGUGAGAUGUUGGGUUAAGUCCCGCAACGAGCGCAACCCUUGUCAUUAGUUGCUACGCAAGAGCACUCUAAUGAGACUGCCGGUGACAAACCGGAGGAAGGUGGGGAUGACGUCAAGUCCUCAUGGCCCUUAUGGGUAGGGCUUCACACGUCAUACAAUGGUCGGGACAGAGGGUCGCCAACCCGCGAGGGGGAGCCAAUCUCAGAAACCCGAUCGUAGUCCGGAUCGCAGUCUGCAACUCGACUGCGUGAAGUCGGAAUCGCUAGUAAUCGCGGAUCAGAAUGUCGCGGUGAAUACGUUCCCGGGUCUUGUACACACCGCCCGUCACACCAUGGGGAGUGGGUUUCACCAGAAGUAGGUAGCCUAACCGUAAGGAGGGCGCUUACCACGGUGGGA